AGAGAGAGAUUAGUUUUCUAAACCCAUCGCAAAGUGAAGGGAUAGCUGAUUGUCAUCCCAUUUUUGAGACCUCAGUCAUCCUUCUGCGUGCAUCACCACAACUAAGAGGAAGGAAAGAGCACUGGAUGUGGAGUGAGGAGACAUGGAUUCUGUCACUACCCUGCUCUGCAGAACCCAAUAGUAUGUCAUUGAAACAAAACAAUACAAAACCCUGUCUACAAA
rnacentral:lncRNA from 1 species